rnacentral:rRNA from 1 species
ACGAACGCUGGCGGCGUGCUUAACACAUGCAAGUCGAACGAUGAACCUGGAGCUUGCUCUAGGGGAUUAGUGGCGAACGGGUGAGUAACACGUGAGUAACCUGCCCUUGACUCUGGGAUAACCUCCGGAAACGGAAGCUAAUACCGGAUAUGACGUACGGAGGCAUCUCCUGUACGUGGAAAGAACUUCGGUCAAGGAUGGACUCGCGGCCUAUCAGGUAGUUGGUGAGGUAACGGCCCACCAAGCCUACGACGGGUAGCCG